AGUGAACGCUGGCGGCGUGCCUAACACAUGCAAGUCGAACGAUGAUGGAGGAGCUUGCUCUUCCUGAUUAGUGGCGCACGGGUGAGUAAUGCAUAGAUAAUGUGCCCCUUAGUUCGGGAUAGCCACUGGAAACGGUGAUUAAUACCGGAUACUCCUUCUUAUCAUAAGAUAAGUCGGGAAAGUUUUUCGCUAAGGGAUCAGUCUAUGUUCCAUCAGUUAGUUGGUGAGGUAACGGCUCACCAAGACAAUGACGGAUAUCUGGUUUGAGAGGAUGAUCAGACACACUGGAACUGAGACACGGUCCAGACUCCUACGGGAGGCAGCAGUGAGGAAUAUUGCACAAUGGAGGAAACCCUGAUGCAGCAACGCCGCGUGGAGGAUGACGCAUUUCGGUGUGUAAACUCCUUUUAUUAGGGAAGAUUAUGACGGUACCUAAUGAAUAAGCACCGGCUAACUCCGUGCCAGCCGCCGCAGUAA
rnacentral:rRNA from 1 species